AUCCCAUCUGCCCCCUAAUAUUAACUACUUAUAACAAGGCUAUAAUCACCGAGGCUAGCUGGGCCUGGAUCCCCAGUAAUUUUUUUAAAAGUUAUCGGUUCUAUUAAUGGGUUGGUUUUCGACCCGGCGAUCCGGACAUUUCAACAAAAUAAAUUAUAAGAAACACACUACUCUACAGGUUCUGUCACUCAGUCAUUGACUCUCUCGGAAUUUAAUACAAACUUGAGCCACGCAACUUUGAAAAGGAGUGCAGCAACUGUAGAUAAAUUGGUAAUAUAAACUUUAACUAAUCAAAAAAAAAAUAUAUUAAUGAAGCAAUUGGAACGAUGGUAUUUUCCGAAUUCACUUUAUCAUCUUGUUGAGCACCAUCAGUCAUGCAAAAUUGUUCAAACUCUCAGACCAAGCUAUAAUCGUCCU
rnacentral:lncRNA from 1 species